GACGAACGCUGGCGGCGUGCCUAAUACAUGCAAGUCGAGCGGACGAAUCGAAAGCUUGCUUUUGAUUCGUUAGCGGCGGACGGGUGAGUAACACGUGGGCAACCUGCCCUGUAGACGGGGAUAACACCGAGAAAUCGGUGCUAAUACCGGAUAACACGAAAUGUCGCAUGACGUUUCGUUGAAAGACGGCGCAAGCUGUCGCUACAGGAUGGGCCCGCGGCGCAUUAGCUAGUUGGUGAGGUAACGGCUCACCACGGCGACGAUGCGUAGCCGACCUGAGAGGGUGAUCGGCCACACUGGGACUGAGACAUGGCCCAGACUCCUACGGGAGGCAGCAGUAGGGAAUCUUCCGCAAUGGACGAAAGUCUGACGGAGCAACGCCGCGUGAGCGAAGAAGGCCUUCGGGUCGUAAAGCUCUGUUGUUAGGGAAGAACAAGUAACGCAGUAACUGGCGUUACCGUGACGGUACCUAACGAGAAAGCCACGGCUAACUACGUG
rnacentral:rRNA from 1 species